CCAUUGCAAAGCGCCAUUACUCGCGCAACGGUCACAAACGAAUUGACGUAACACAAAGAAACCUGCGCAACAGCACUGAACAGAUAUUGACGUCAUACGAAGAGUGCAGAUGGAUCAAUACGGUCGACAGAAGUUUUAACUAUCUGGAGUGCGGAUAAAUUUUUACUGAGAGUCGUAUAGGAAUCUAUAAUCUAGUACUUUCCAAAAUACGCCGAGAGUAUUCCUGAUGGUGAAACGAGCGUUGCUUCAUCGAACGCAGCUAAAGAAAACAACAUCUAUGUAGUUGGUGGUACGAUGCCUGAAAUAGAGGGCGCUAAAUUGUACAAUACCUGUACUAUUUGGGGUCCCGAUGGAACUUUGAUAGCAAAACACCGAAAGUCUUUAACGGAAGGACAAAAAGAAGAGCAGACGGCACACAGACCGCAAUCAUGAUCAUUUUCAAGUAGAAUCUCAAACUGCCGUACAUCUUCGAAAACUUCGUUAGUCGUAAGGGAUCAAAGGAUGAUGUCCGUGCUGCGGAAAAUAGAUGAGAAGCGGCUAUUUCAACAACCACCGUGUAGGUGUAUUCUGUGCGGCUAAAGCAGUCACCUAAUGAAUUAUUGAGUACCAGGAAUGUUAGCGGUAAACAGGAUUGCGGCUAUGAAUGAUUCUCUAAUGUCUAUAUUAGAGAUGAAUUUGAUAAUUUAUCCUCAUAAUAUGCAAUCCGCUUUUAAGUGGAAAUCAUAAUUAACAAUUUCUGUUUGAUUAAAUAUGAAGAGCAGAUAAAUCGAUACGCUUAAAUCAAUAUUAGAAUUUCUUAACAUUUUUAUCAAAUAUUUUAGCACUGUAAAAGCGUCGUAGUAGAGAAAUAUUAGGUUGUUCCAAAAGUUUCUUUCGUUUUAUAAGAAAGUAAUAGAUGUACAACAUUUUUCGUUUUAUAUUAUUUUAUUGAAUUACGUGUGAUCCACCUUUUUCCAAUUUAAUGUAAAAUAAUAUAGAAUAACAUAAAACAAAAUAUGUUGUGCAUCUGUCAUUUCUUUAUAAAACGAAAGAAACUUGGGACAACCUAAUAGGAAUUUACUUUUAUUAUCCAUUAUAAAAAUGGAUUGUUAAUCCUCUAGGAGAUACGAACAAUAUAAUUGCAAUUAAUAAGGAAUAAGCUAGCAUAACUUGAACCAGCUUUUGCAGAAAGCUAUUAGCUAAAGAUGUUUAUUAAACAAUGACAACAUGAAUUUUCUUAAGUACCCCAUUUGGUACUUAAUCUACUUCGUAAGUACUGUGUGUCCUAGCCUUCAAAGGAUGCAAUUUUAACCAGAAUGUUUCACAUUACUUGCCCGUAUUAUUUCCUUGUAAUAUAAUUUAUAUUUACAUUAUCUACGUUACGUUACAUUCUACGCGUUAAUGUAAUGUGAUUUUUAUUUCUAAUCGAAGUUAUUCAAAAUUUGUAGUAUCUCAAUAAAAAAUUAACAGCCUGCAAAAACUUCACAGAAGCAUUAGUAUCUUCGAAACUAUUUAAUUCAAAUGACUAAUAUUCUUUAACAAUAUGCACUCGACGACGUUUAUCGAGAGAAGUAUGUGGCGUAAUAGUUAAACUUUCAAUUCAUAUACAUAUAUCGUUUAUGAAAAAGUAGUCAUUCUGCUUUUGUGAUCUGUGACACACUAUAAAUUCUCAUAAGCUAACUAACGCGUAAUCUUCUGUAACGUAUUAAUGUAAUAUAGGUAUGUAUAUCUCGAUUUUGAGCAACCAAUUGGUGAUAAAUAAGCUUUAGUACAUACUUCUUACACGUAACAAAAGACCAGUUAACAUCUCUGCUCUUAAAAGAAAAACGAAAGAAGCUCUGAAAAGCUGCAGAGUUCAGGUCGAAUAACACCAGCUCAGAUAAAUGACCCUCUAACUUACCUUUGUCCUCAUCGACGUCAGUGAUUUUAAAGCUAGUUAUAAAGUGCACUUCUCAGCCAGCGUCCACGGCAGUCAAUAUUAUUUAACGGGUCUUAACGCGAUGUAAAAAGGGAAAAAGGAGGAAAGAGGGAACAGGGAAGCAAAGAGAAGAAACGAAUUUUUCAUUUUCUCGAAACUGGAUCAAGUUUCAGGCUGCUCGCCAAAGAGUCUGUAGCUAACGAGACAAGAUUAGACAAACCACGCUUUAAAAUUGCCACAGAACUAUAAUAAUCCUCGAAAUCAAUACGAUUCGUCGAUCCAUCGCCUGAUUAAAAAAUGAGAUAGGAUGAAGCUCACUAGUCGGCCUUUGAACUUUCAAUAGCGCUUACGGCUCGUAUACUCUAGUUUGAAUGCUACAAUGUAAGCCAAGUCAGCUGUAACUAGCGUUCGCGUGAUUGUCGCUAUCUAUUAUUCACGCGUUACACGUUCACCAGACAAACGCGUCUACCGGUUGACAUUGUUUUCUGUCCUGAGUUUCAAAGCAAUUAUGUUGCUUCGUGUAAUCAAAUCUCGCCAAACUAACGAUAAGUUCUUGUUUGAUCUUACACAGUUAUUAAAACUAUACAAGUUAAACCAAUCUAGCCUAAACAAGUAAUGUCGUUAUAUAUUCUUUUUUAAAUCUAUAUAUUGUUUAAUAAAUCCUGGUUAGGAUAUAGUAGCUGACAAAAAUAUUCGGACAAAUAUAUUUGUAGAAACAUUUUAGGAGUGUAUUAUGCAUAGUGGCACUAUUUAAUACUGUACUGUGACUAUCAUGGUCGUGUUGGUAUUAUUCGAAACUAAUCUGAAAAUCUGUAUGGAAUUUGUAAGAUAUUUAGUACGAGUACUGUGCAUUACUGAUAUGUACACAACCGAGACGAGAUAACGAAGGUACUGCUCUCCAUCGUUCAUCGCUACGCGUUGCUAAUAGCAACGUAUAAUGCAUAUAUAUCUCGCAAAGACCAUAAAAGUACCCAAUGGAACCACGUUUAAUAUUUGAUAAUAAUGUCCCAUUACAGUUUCGUCAUUUUCAAUUAAUUAAACACGACCCUCUCUUUAAAAAUUAGAAGAUAAAAUACGUAAUACAAAUCUACUCGAAAUCUUUUAAACCUUACGGACGACCUUACGGACCUUACUUAUGGUCUUUGAAAGCAGCAGGGAUUAGCAGAAUAUUAACUGCGGAUUUUUCUUGGACCGCAGCAUGCAAUAUGAAAUAUGGUUAUUAAAAUGUACACUGAAAAUUUCAUAUCCAUAAGAUACUCGUGCUUGUAGAACCUUGAAAAUGAAUUCUUAACCCAAAUAGUCGACCGCGAUACUCGAGAAAUUUUGUGAAGCUGACGUCAAUACCAAUAUGUACCGUCGUUGUGCUAUUAUUUCGUGAUAAACCGUAUUGAUUGCACUUCCAUUUCACGGAAUUAAUUUUUUCACACAAAAAGUGAUAACGAUAAUCGAAAAAAGAAAAAUAUACUACCACAUUUCGUAUCAGCAUACACAAGCGCACUCGAUUUUACACGAGUAUACAAUUUGCAAAUUCGACAGAACGAUCGGAUUUAAUUAUUUUUUCGAUAUUUCAGGCAUCAAGUUCUAUUUACACAGCGAACGUUGAAAUACGGCGAAAUACAAAAUGUACAAACCACUCUGGACAUUAAUUAACUUUAAACGUUAUUGAUUAAUUAAAGAAACCAACCAUUGUGUUGAUUUUUACAUUUUGAAAAAUUGUUAUCCACUUUUGCUUUGUUUAAAAAUUGAAAAAAAAAAUACUUUUAUUGUAAGUCACGAGUAUCUCUUUUAUUUAUUUAAACUUUAGAUCAAAUAUUACAAUUUAUAAAUAUAUCAUUUAUUUAGAUAUACUUGUAAUAUCUGUUUUAUAAGUUUGUACAACCAUUUAUCUAUUUAUCUAUUUUAUUUGCACAUAAUCUUUAUAGACUGAUUUUGUAAAGAAUAAAAAAUUGUGAUUCUAUUUAAAAACGAUCGUGUCAGACUCAAGUGAUAAGCGAUAUAUAUUUCAGCGAUAUAUAUAUAUUCAGAUUUCACUAUCACAUAAACGGUGCUAUUGGAAACGUUUCACAAUAGACGUCUUAUAAGCGCCUGCGAUGUCCGUCAUAUGUAAAGCUAUACCACUGAAUCACGGCCGCCAUUUAGUGAUUAAGGUCGAUCACUUAGAGUUGUUAAUCCGACAUAAUGGCGAGCAAUACAUCGAAGACAUUAUUGGAAACACAGUUACAGUUUAAUUUCAUUGAGCUUAUUUGCAAAUAAAUGUGUACAAUAUA